CCACAAAUAAACAUAUCCCUUUAUAUAGAUAACUUUUCAUGGUGUUCUUAGACUUCCCCUUUUUUAUUCUCCACUCGCUCCUCCAGUGAGUAAUAAGAGCGGAAAAUUGUAAUGGACUUAACUGAAAUCAACUUGAUUUUCUUAGGCUCGAAAAAAAUGUGAUAAACAACAUGGAAAUGUAGGUUUACAUGGUACCGCUCCUAAAAAUACAUGUUGAUUUAUUUAAAUGUCCAUAAAUUAUUCUUUAACAGAGUACAAAAAUGGGUAUAAGCAACAGAACUAUGAAGAGUUAAACGCCUAUCUAUGUAGUGAUUGAAAGAUCUUUCAGCUGUUGGGGAUCCACCUCAGAAGGUGAUCUCGUGAGGGCACACUGUGCAGUUGUUGUUUUUGGGAAAG
rnacentral:lncRNA from 1 species